UACAGAGGGGGGCAAGCGUUGUUCGGAAUUACUGGGCGUAAAGGGCGCGUAGGCGGCCUGCUAAGUCGAACGUGAAAUCCCUGGGCUCAACCCCAGGAACUGCGUCCGAUACUGGUUGGCUUGAAUCCGGGAGAGGGAUGUGGAAUUUCAGGUGUAGCGGUGAAAUGCGUAGAUAUCUGGAGGAACACCGGUGGCGAAGGCGACAUCCUGGACCGGUAUUGACGCUGAGGCGCGAAAGCCAGGGGAGCAAACGGG
rnacentral:rRNA from 1 species